GACCCCAUCGUCUAGUGGCCUAGGACAACGCCCUCUCACGGCGUGAACAGGGGUUCAAAUCCCCUUGGGGUCGCCA
rnacentral:tRNA from 1 species